AGGCCAACGCCGAGCCCGGCUGAUCUCCGUCUGCGAGCCGGGCCUUUCAGCUGGCUCCGGGCUGGCCGGCCCAGCGAGGAGAAGACGUCCAGGAAGGCAGAGGACCAGACCCUGCCGCUGUAAAAACCUUUUUCCCCAAGCCUCCCUCCACCUCGCCUCCUGUAACUCGGCGCUGCCCGGGAAAGCGCCUGCUCGGCAGCUCUCACAAAGCUCUUCCCUUAGUCUCACAGCAAUCCGGCGGCUCGUCUGAGCCUUGGAGAGGAUUAUACGAUGGGGCACUUCAUAUUGUGAUGUCUGAUUACCCAUAAGAAAUAAUCAUGGAGCCACACCAGAGCUUGGCCAGCAGGACACUGCCUGCAGCACGUGCACCAUGCCAGUCUCCUGUACUACAUGCAAUGUGUGCAGCUGGUCCAUCCCCAUAUGCCAUGUGCAGCACACGCUGGCCCCAUUUCAGAGCGCACUUUGCACACCCUCGACAAUGCAUGCUGAAUGGGCAGGUUCCAGACUAGCCCUAAAUCGUUCCAAUGUGCGUGUGCACAGACAUCCGGGUCAGCUCCAGAGCCAGCAUGCAGAGCUAAUCCAACAGAGCACCCCAUACAGCACAUCCCCAGUGCCAGCCCCAGGCACCACAUGCAGAGGAAGCCCCAGAGUGGAGCCAGCAUAUGCUGCCCAUGGGGCUGGACCAGCUGCACACUGCGUACAGCAUCCCACCAGACUGGCCCUGCCCACUGGGUCCAGCAUGGCCUGAUCCAGCCUGCAGACCAGCCCAGCAACCCUGAUCCAGCCUGAGGCCAGAUGAGUUUGACACCCCAGUCAGUAUCGGCCAAUAUGGCUGGUUAAUAAUGGGCUAUCAGUAUCAGCCAAGAAAAUCCUUUAUCAGUGCACCCCUACAAAAAAAACAAACAAACCCUAGUUCUAACGUGUUUAAUACUUGCAAUAGAUGGAGAUGUGUUGAGGAAACCUCUCCAAAUUUGAAUGCUCCAUUUUGAGAGAACAAAUAAACAAUUCAACUAAA